UACGAAGGGGGCUAGCGUUGCUCGGAAUCACUGGGCGUAAAGGGUGCGUAGGCGGGUCUUUAAGUCAGGGGUGAAAUCCUGGAGCUCAACUCCAGAACUGCCUUUGAUACUGAAGAUCUUGAGUUCGGGAGAGGUGAGUGGAACUGCGAGUGUAGAGGUGAAAUUCGUAGAUAUUCGGAAGAACACCAGUGGCGAAGGCGACUCACUGGACAUGUAUUGACGCUGAGGUGCGAAAGCGUGGGGAGCAAACAGG
rnacentral:rRNA from 1 species